AGAAGAUGAAGAAGAAGAGGAAGCAAAGGAGGCUGAAGAUGGCCCAAUGGAGGAGUCCAAACCAAAGCCCAGGUCGUUCAUGCCCAACUUGGUGCCUCCCAAGAUCCCCGAUGGAGAGAGAGUGGACUUUGAUGACAUCCACCGGAAGCGCAUGGAGAAGGACCUGAAUGAGUUGCAGGCGCUGAUCGAGGCUCACUUUGAGAACAGGAAGAAAGAGGAGGAGGAGCUCGUUUCUCUCAAAGACAGGAUCGAGAGACGCCGGGCAGAGCGGGCCGAGCAGCAGCGCAUCCGGAAUGAGCGGGAGAAGGAGCGGCAGAACCGCCUGGCUGUGAGUGACCCCCAGCCCAGGCCCAUGGAGGCCCCCCAUGCUCCCAGCUCCUGCUGGGCCCCCAGGCCCCUCUCUGUUCAUCAACAUGAAUGAAAUCAGUCAAGAGACAAUAUUGGCCGGGUGCGGUGGCUCAUGCCUGUAAUCCCAGCACUUUGGGAGGCCAAGGCGGGUAGAUCACUUGAGGUUGGGAGUUCGAGACCAUCCUGACCAACGUGGAGAAACCCUGUCACUACUAAAAAUACAAAAUUAGCCGGGCGUGGUGGCGCAUGCCGGUCAUCCUAGCUACUCAGGAGGCUGAGGCAGGAGAAUCGCUUGAACCCAGGAGGCGAGGUUGCAGUGAGCCGAGGUCAUGCCAUUGCACUCUAGCCUGGGC
rnacentral:sRNA from 1 species